GGGAAUCCCUCCCCGCGCGCUCCCUCCCCCCGCCCUCCUCCUCCAAGCCUGCCUCCCUCCCGCCCGCCGCUGCCUCCCCCCGCGUCCCAAACUGCGCACAAUAGCGGCCGGCUCCUCUAUCUAUUUUGUGUCCAGCCGGAGCCGCGCGCGAUGAUUCAUUGCCCCAAUUAGGGGCUCUCUCCAGCGCGCCCGGCUCAAGCCGUCUGAAGGGUCUCCUGGGGGACCCGCCGAAACCCAUCAGCGGCUGGAGCUGGUCUUUAAGUAAAGGUCAAGCAGGACGCGGGAGGAGCCAGGGGCCAAACAGGAUUCAGACCCAGGACAUCGGGCUCCAGGCCCUACUCUUGACCACCAGGGCGAGUAGCCGUGCGAGGCAAACGUCUGGUACACGUCGCAGGUCUGCUGAUGGGGACGGUCCAUGGCAGGACAAGGACAGGAUCCCUGGGUCCUCCCGGAUGAUAUGGCUCAGGCCCUGGUCCAAUCCAGGCAUCUCCAGACCUCUCAUUUCCCAUCUGUGAAAUGGCACCGCUUCCAGCUUCAAAAUUCUACAAGUCUCUGACUUCUGGGCCGUUUACAGCUUCCUCAUUUGCAAGCAGCAGCCCAGAGUCAGCCUGGGGACAAAGGUACCCGGUGGUCCCCUCCACCCUCUGGGACACUGAAAUGUAAAUAAAACUGGGCUUCCUCUUGGCAAGGAAGAGGGCCAUGCAUUGUAAAUAAAUGCAAGAAGAAGGCCUCCAGAUUCCCUGGGGGAUAUUCCAGGGCUUGAGGUCCAAGGGUUAACAGGAAAUCAUCAUUGGUUGGGACUUUGGGCCUUCACCCUGGCCCAGAGGAAUGCUGUGUCAGCAAAACUGUCCCGAAGGAAUGUUGGGGGCGGGGCAGGGGGCUUUUUGGCUCCUGGCAUUUUUAAUACCUGGAGAGCAGAGGAGGGCUGAUACGGAGAAGUUUAAAGGGCAGUGUCUGUUGAAUUGCAUCCUUGCACAGUUCAAGGGGGACUAUUAGGUCCCACACAGACUGAGAGGUUGCUAGUAAGGCACUGCCUGACUGGGGACAUGCAGGCCAGCAGGUGAGUUUAAUGUGGGUUCCUUAGGACUGGGACACAUGCUGUCCCUUCUGCUUCAAAUGCGUUUUGGGCUCAUCUGUAUGGCCAUGGCCACAGUGUCAUCCUCAGAGGCCUCCCUUUCCUCUCUAGAGCAGGUGCUGUGCCGUGCUUCUCCAUCCCAGCUCCCCAGCGCAGGAGUUUGCCAUUGACUUUAUUGAUUUUUCCGUCCACUGCUCCUGUCUGCGCCCAACACCCCCCCGGAACCCUGGUGCUCCCUCCCAAGGGCAGGAGCCAGGUCUGUCUUGCUCACUGGAGAUGCGGGGCCUGGCUCGGUGCCUUGGUCCCACAUACCUGGGUCUCAGUCCUGUUCCAUCCCUUGCCAGUUGUGUGAGCCUUGGGUGGACUUCUUAGCACACGGCCCCUCAGUUCUCUGCUCUGUACAAUGGGGGUUGUUAAAUAAAUAGAGAUUUGGGCGCAGGCAUGGGCUCUGGCAUGCUGUAGGUGACUGUGUACGUGUGUUGCCCCUUCCUCUUUCCAGUGGUUGAAGAGGUUCUCCUGCCGCCUGUCCGCACUGCAGGGCGCGCUGCAGGGUGGCAGGGAGGGCCACUGUGUUGAGGUCACGCACAGAGUCUGAGGGAGAAGGAUCACGGGGCCAACCAGACCAAAAGAGAGCGGUAGGGUUUUCUUGGCGGAGCUGGAAUCCUCCAGGAGGUAUUCCGAGUAUGCACCAUACAUAUGCGGGUGUGAGUGUGUACGUAUGUGAAUGUGCAUGAGUCUGUAUUUGUUAGAUUGUAUAUGUGUGUGUACAUGUGCGUAGUUAUAUAGGUAUGUACAACCUGUGUGUGAGCAUGUGUGUGAGUGUGCAUGCGUGUGUACGUUUGUGCAUGCGUGAGUUCACCUGUGUGCUUCUGUGUAUGUGCCUGUGUGUGCAUGUCAAGUGGGCCGGCAGUGGGAGUGGGAGGUGUCCAGCUGGAUGUUUUUCUUCUCUUCAAUGACCCAGUGACUUAGGAAAGUCCCCUGGAACACGUCUUGGGAACCAGGAAGCAGGGUGAACACAGAUCAGAGGAGAAGGCCAGUGAUGAUGGCUGCUCCUCUGCGGGGAUGACAUGGGGGCAGGGCCGCUGCCACAGCUUGACACAGCAGACUGACAUCGCACAGCCAUUUACUAGCUGUGUGGCUUUUGGCUUGCUUGUUUACCUCUCUGAGCCUCAGUUUCCCCUUCUGUAAAGCAGAGCCAACUUGACAGUGUGCAGGGAGGGUGAACUGAGCCAGUGCUGGUAAAAGUACAUUGCAUUGGGAUGCAGAAUAACAGUGGUAUAAACACACACAGCAUGUGUAGGCAUUAAACACACAGCACACCCAUUCAGUGUGAAGCACACACCAGGACCUAUACUUUGCAGGUGCCAACUCGUCAAAUCUUUCCCAGAAGCCCAUGAGGAAGGUUGUGCUGUACCCACAAGUUUAGGGGUGAGGAGACUGGGGCAUAGGGAAGGGAAGUCAUAGGUCCAGGGUCACACAGCAUGGUGGAAUUGGGACUGGCACCCCGGUCACAUGCCUCUGAAACCCUCUGCUUUGCUGGCUAGUGAGUGAGAUUCACUUUCUCUUCAAUCCUGCGAUGCCAGGACAGGAACAGCCUAGAAUCUGGUCCCCCCUCUCCUCACGUGUCCCCCAGUUUCACACCAAAGGAAACAGGCCCUCACACGUGCCUGUCUGGAUACAAAACAGGCCAAGUUUGUGCCAGGAGAUGAAAAGAAAUGCCAGGGUGGAUUGGCAUGAAAUUCACGCACCAAAGUAGACUUGAAGUCCCUGUUUCUAAUGGAAAUGGGCAAAAGGUUCAAACAGUACUAAGCCAUCCAAACAUCCCUGCCAAGAGCUGCUGAGGCCACAGCCUGAGCAUCCCCAGCAGAGCCAUCUCCUGACUUCCCUCUAAGCCCUACACCCCACCUUGCAGCUGGAGAGAGGGUGCCAGGCUCCCUCCAGACCACACACUGGCUCUUCAUCUUUCAAUUGUAGGACUUGAAAAGCAUUGAGAGAUGUUCAUAGACAGACCCUGCGUUGGGAGCAGGUUAAACAUGCCCACCUGGAUUCUGCAGGAGACAAGGAGGCCGUCAGCGUAGAACACCUGGGCACAUCUCAGAUUUGCAGCUACCUGUAGGUUCAUCUUAGCCCAGAAACCGCAGGAAUCUGCCCUCAUCCCGCCCAGGAGAGCUCAUUUCCAGCCUCCAAAUGCUUAACCACACAUUGUUUUGUAUAUCUGUCUCUGUGCCUGCCUCUCCCACUGGAGCAGAGCCUGAGCUGGCUUGCCUUGCCCUGCCCCACAGUUUCACAAGGAUGUGGACAUGGUUGGGGACCAAUCGGUGCUUGAACCAGGGACGCCGCUAGACUCUAUCCAAAACCUCACUCAUUAUGCCUUCCAAGUUCCAGAAUCAUCCAGCUGCCUGGCCAGUUUCGACUGCGCCAUCUUUUAUUCCUCUUGAGUGCCAGCAAUCAAGAUUAAACUCUGUCAUGUGCCCCUGGCUUUUCCCAACCCUGCAACCCGACUUCCCUUCUCGCUGGGCCUUUUGCCCUUUUCCUCCUUCCUCUAAACUGUGCCUGCGCCUUUGGCAUCCUGCCCAGGGCCCAUUUACCUUCUUAGGCUGGUCCAUCCUCCUCUUUUCAGAGGCGACGUGUGCUGUGUUUGGCCUCUGGCUCACUGGGGACCAGAAAAACAAAAUUUAUCAUCUGACUGCCCUAUUUUUUCUUUUUUCUUUCUUUCUUUCUUUUUUUUUUUUUUUAAUUCUUUUUGCCUAAGAAUGAAGCAGGCCCUUCUCUGCUGUCCUUAGAAACAGCUUCAGACAUGGCAGGCCACUGGCAAAAAUACAUCGUCCUUCUCAGAGGGAAAGAAUGUAACUGUUAACAACAAAAAAUCCCUGGGAUUUGUGGAGGCCUUGGGCUUAUGAACCAGUUCACCUCCCUGCACUCGUGUGACACAGCAGUACAUGGAGGCAUCACAUCCAUUUUAAAGAUAGAGAAACUGAGACUCCAAGAAGCAGGGAUUUCCCCAAGGGCACCAUUCUUGGAAUCAGGAUAAGUUGCCAGCUUUGGAGCUGAUGAAAUUUUGUUGCAUUUUGUAUGCAUUUAUUGUGCUAAUUUGUUAAAUAUAAACAUUAAACAUAUACAGCAUGUUUUGUAA